CGUCUAGGCGGACAGGUCAGUCAGUUGUGAAAUCCCUCGGCUCAACCGAGGAACUGCAGCUGAUACUGCCUGUCUUGAGGACGAGAGGGGAGAGUGGAACUCCUGGUGGAGCGGUGAAAUGCGUAGAUAUCAGGAGGAACGCCGGCGGCGAAAGCGACUCUCUGGCUCGUUCCUGACGCUGAAGCGCGAAAGCCAGGGGAGCGAACG
rnacentral:rRNA from 1 species